rnacentral:rRNA from 1 species
UACGUAGGGGGCGAGCGUUAUCCGGAUUCAUUGGGCGUAAAGCGCGCGCAGGCGGGUUGCUAAGCGGGACCUCUAAUCCUGGGGCUCAACCUCAGGCCGGGUCCCGAACUGGCAGCCUCGGGUUCGGUAGGGGAGAUCGGAAUUCCCGGUGUAGCGGUGGAAUGCGCAGAUAUCGGGAAGAACACCGAUGGCGAAGGCAGAUCUCUGGGCCGCAACCGACGCUGAGGCGCGAAAGCUAGGGGAGCGAA